UUCGGGGGUACUCGAGUGGCGAACGGGUGAGUAACACGUGGGUGAUCUGCCCUGCACUCUGGGAUAAGCCUGGGAAACUGGGUCUAAUACCGGAUAGGACCGCGCGCUUCAUGGUGUGUGGUGGAAAGCUUUUGCGGUGUGGGAUGGGCCCGCGGCCUAUCAGCUUGUUGGUGGGGUAAUGGCCUACCAAGGCGACGACGGGUAGCCGGCCUGAGAGGGUGACCGGCCACACUGGGACUGAGAUACGGCCCAGACUCCUACGGGAGGCAGCAGUGGGGAAUAUUGCACAAUGGGCGCAAGCCUGAUGCAGCGACGCCGCGUGGGGGAUGACGGCCUUCGGGUUGUAAACCUCUUUCAGUAUCGGCGAAGCUCCGUGGUUUUCUGCGGGGUGACGGUAGGUACAGAAGAAGCACCGGCCAACUACGUGCCAGCAGCCGCGGUAAUACGUAGGGUGCGAGCGUUGUCCGGAAUUACUGGGCGUAAAGAGCUCGUAGGUGGUUUGUCACGUUGUUCGUGAAAACUCACAGCUUAACUGUGGGCGUGCGGGCGAUACGGGCAGACUAGAGUACUGUAGGGGAGACUGGAAUUCCUGGUGUAGCGGUGGAAUGCGCAGAUAUCAGGAGGAACACCGGUGGCGAAGGCGGGUCUCUGGGCAGUAACUGACGCUGAGGAGCGAAAGCGUGGGGAGCGAACAGGAUUAGAUACCCUGGUAGUCCACGCCGUAAACGGUGGGUACUAGGUGUGGGUUUCCUUCCUUUAGGGAUCCGUGCCGUAGCUAACGCAUUAAGUACCCCGCCUGGGGAGUACGGCCGCAAGGCUAAAACUCAAAGGAAUUGACGGGGGCCCGCACAAGCGGCGGAGCAUGUGGAUUAAUUCGAUGCAACGCGAAGAA
rnacentral:rRNA from 1 species